rnacentral:rRNA from 1 species
CAAUAGCGUAUAUUAAAGUUGUUGCAGUUAAAAAGCUCGUAGUUGGAUUUGUGGCGUACGGUGUGUUCCGGGCACUUGUUGUCUGAGUAACCUGCUGUUGCCAUCCUUGGGUGGAACCUGUGUGGCAUUAGGUUGUCGUGCAGGGGAUGCCCAUCAUUUACUGUGAAAAAAUUAGAGUGUUCAAAGCAGGCUUAUGCCGUUGAAUAUAUUAGCAUGGAAUAAUGAGAUAGGACUUUUUUGCUAUUUUGUUGGUUUGCGCAAAGAGGUAAUGAUUAAUAGGGACGGUUGGGGGUAUUCGUAUUCCAUUGUCAGAGGUGAAAUUCUUGGAUUUUUGGAAGACGAACUACUGCGAAGGCAUUUACCAAGGAUGUUUUCAUUAA